rnacentral:rRNA from 1 species
CCCUUAGAUGUACUGGGCCGCACGCGUGCUACACUGAGUGGAUCAGCGGGUCAGGUUGCGCGAAAGUGUUUCCUAAUCUUUAAAUCCGCUCGUGAUGGGGAUUGACGGUUGCAAUUUUCCGUCAUGAACGAGGAAUACCUUGUAAGCGCGGGUCAUCAUCCCGCGCUGAAUACGUCCCUGCCCUUUGUACACACCGCCCGUCGCUCCUACCGAUUGAGUGGUCCGGUGAGGCUUUGGGAUCUGAGCGGAAAGAGCGUUUCGCUGUUUCUGCCCGGAAAACUCAGUCGAACCUUAUCAUUUAGAGGAAGGAGAAGUCGUAACA